rnacentral:rRNA from 1 species
GCUUGUCUCAAAGAUUAAGCCAUGCAUGUCUAAGUAUAAGCAAACUUGUACUGUGAAACUGCGAAUGGCUCAUUAUAUCAGUUAUAGUCUACUCGAUAGUACCUUACUACUUGGAUAACCGUAGUAAUUCUAGAGCUAAUACAUGCGCAAAUACCCAACUGCUUGUCGGACGGGUAGCAUUUAUUAGAUUGAAACCAAUGCGGGGCAACCCGGAUUAUGGUGAUUCAUAAUAACUUUCAGAUCGAUCGCAAGAUCGAUGCAUCAUUCAAGUUUCUGCCCUAUCAGCUUUGGAUGGUAGGGUAUUGGCCUACCAUGGCUUUAACGGGUAACGGAGAAUUAGGGUUCGAUUCCGGAGAGGGAGCCUGAGAAACGGCUACCACAUCCAAGGAAGGCAGCAGG